UAUUGUCAUAAAAGAUCAGCCAAAUAUAUAAUGGAAUACUUCAUUCUCUUGAAGCUAAACAAAAUUCAAAAGACUUCAAAAUCCUCCAUAUUCUCCAAGUAUUGCCAAUUUUCAGGGUACAAAACAAAAAUGGGAAAUUGAAAGAAAAUCAUAAAUAACUUCAUG